rnacentral:rRNA from 1 species
UACGGGGGGGGCAAGCGUUGUUCGGAAUUACUGGGCGUAAAGGGUGCGUAGGCGGCUUUCUAAGUCGGAUGUGAAAACUCUGGGCUCAACCCAGAGACUGCAUCUGAAACUGGAGAGCUAGGGUUCUGGAGGGGAAAGCGGAAUUCCUGGUGUAGCGGUGAAAUGCGUAGAUAUCAGGAGGAACACCGGUGGCGAAGGCGGCUUUU